AGAGUUUGAUCCUGGCUCAGGACGAACGCUGGCGGCGUGCUUAACACAUGCAAGUCGAACGCUGUCCAUUCGGUGGCAACACUGAUGAAGACGGAGUGGCGAACGGGUGAGUACCACGUGAGCAACCUGCCCCGAAGACCGGGAUAACACUCGGAAACGAGUGCUAAUACCGGAUACCCCCACUGGAUCGCAUGAUCCGGUGAGGAAAUGGAUUCCGCUUCGGGAGGGGCUCGCGGCCUAUCAGCUAGUUGGUGAGGUAACGGCUCACCAAGGCUUCGACGGGUAGCUGGUCUGAGAGGACGAUCAGCCACACUGGGACUGAGACACGGCCCAGACUCCUACGGGAGGCAGCAGUGGGGAAUCUUGCGCAAUGGGCGAAAGCCUGACGCAGCAACGCCGCGUGAGGGACGAAGGCUUUCUGAGUUGUAAACCUCUUUCAGCAGGGACGAUGAUGACGGUACCUGCAGAAGAAGCACCGGCCAACUACGUGCCAGCAGCCGCGGUGAUACGUAGGGUGCAAGCGUUGUCCGGAUUUAUUGGGCGUAAAGAGCUCGUAGGCGGUUCGAUCAGUCGGAUGUGAAACCCCCAGGCUCAACCUGGGGCCGCCAUUCGAUACUGUCGUGACUAGAGUCCGGUAGGGGACCAUGGAAUUCCUGGUGUAGCGGUGAAAUGCGCAGAUAUCAGGAGGAACACCAGCAGCGAAGGCGGUGGUCUGGGCCGGUACUGACGCUGAGGAGCGAAAGCGUGGGGAGCGAACAGGAUUAGAUACCCUGGUAGUCCACGCCGUAAACGUUGGGCACUAGGUGUGGGGCCUAUUCAACGGGUUCCGUGCCGCAGCUAACGCAUUAAGUGCCCGCCUGGGGAGUACGCCGCA
rnacentral:rRNA from 1 species